UCAGAAAAUACAAAAGAAGUGUCAGCCAACGUCAACGAGCAUCAUUGUUUUAUGUUGUUGCUGACACCCUGCCUUACCCUCACUUCUGACAGCUUCUUCUUGAUGGAGGCAGAGUCUCCUGAUGUAUCCGACCAGUGCUGGAGCUCCUCCCCGGCAGUCAUCAGCCAAUCAGUGAGCUCCCUGACAGCCUCCAGGUAUUCUUGAUGCUCCAGCACUACAGCCUGUGCAAGACGUACUCUCUCCUGAAGACACAAAAACUGGACAGUGCCACCUGGUGGUCCUCCAGGUCGGCCAGCAGAGCUCUGAGUCUCUCCAGCUGGGAAGCCUUUUCUCUGGGGCCUGGCUGAGGGGUGAGAGGGGCACACACCUCUCGCUCUACAACCUCCAUCCAACACCGCAGCUGGGCAGCACUCUCCAGGUAUCCUCCCCACUGUGACACCGUCCACUCCAAACGACUGGAGGGAGGAGAGAAGAUCUGUGUUAAAUCUGUCAUUACAACAUUGAGACAUUUUAAAUGAAUACAAAUUUUAAACCAAAUGGUGUUGAGUAUCAAAAAUGUUUCAGAUGUGUUUUAAAACUUGAAAUAAACGUUAU